GGGACUUGGUCGUCUUAUUGUCAAGGCUAUUUAGAAUUUGCGAGUGCUGGUGGAAGGUUGCCACGAAAUUUUGUUGUCCUCCUGAUUACCGAUCAUAAUACAUAAUAAUCUACGAAUCGACGAAGAUACACAGUAUAGUCAAGGUCGAGUUUUAUUUUUCAUUGCCCUUCAUGUAUAGCUGAAGAUAAGUUAAAUGAAAUUUUUUUUGUCGUCGUAUGAUAGACAGAGUUGGGGAAGGUGACUUCCCUCUCACUAUCUCAGUAAUAUGAUCUCUGCUUGCGAUAAUAUUUCGGUGUUCUGCUACAAAUAUACGUAGAUUUUAUUGUGUCGUUGUCCGUGUAGCCAUGAAUGAGUCGACUCUUGUUCCAAUAAAGUAAAAGAGGAAUCACGAAGCAGAUUGUGUUUUUACGUUAAUUCAAAUUUGUUUGCGUUUUGCAAUUUCAAUUAGGAGCAUGCUUAUUUGAAUAAAUUGCGCGCAAAGCAGUCUUAGAGUCGGUGUUCGUUCGUAUAAAAGUUUUAUUUAACUUCUUUUUUAUAGUCACAUAAACUAUACAGGUAACCACCAUAUAACGCGGUUACGAUAUAAUGCGAUCCUGAAAUCGUUAGAUUUUUAUCUUCUCACUUAUUUUAUUUGCUCCAAAACAUUUAUGCAUAUAAAGUAUAAAUUUUCUUUGUAUAUUAACUUAUAUGAAUUAUAUGAAUUAGAUGCAAAUGUAUUCCUGUUAGUUACGUCGGUGUUGUUUAUAUGAUAUAGAAACAAAUUGAGACAAUUUAAAAAAAGAUUUGGAAAUUUACUUCGCGUUUUCUAUUAGAUCUGAAUCUUUAUAUAAUAAUGUCAUUUCUAUGGAACGGAAUAUUCGCGUUAUACUGUUACGUCGGUUACCUGUAUUUACAUAUAUAAAAUAAAAAUUAGGUAUUAGCGAAUUCAAUUCAUUGUACGCCUCUUAAUUAAUAAAUAAUUAUCGCGUAUUAGAGUCAGUGCAUCACGGAAGAUGAUCAAGAUCCUGAUACACUUCUUUUAUAGAAGAAUAUUGAUAAUCGCAACCUUCUCAAGUCGAUUUUGAUCUACAGCACAAACGAGUAUUUUGAAACCACCGUAGAAUUUCUUAAAUGAAAUGAUUUCUUCGAGCAUAUGUUGAAGGAAUUAAAUAGAUAUCACUAUCAAAUAAUAAAUAAGUAUAAAGGGUUAUUGAAGGCAAAGAAAUGGAAGGAUAUUAUACUCCCGGAAAUAAAGAAAUUUUUGAGUCUAAUCCUUUUGAUGGGAUAAGUGAAAAAAGACGUUCUCUCCGAUUCUUGGUCGACUGAGGCUAGUAUGGAAAUUCCAUUCUUUUCAAAAAUAAUGAGCAGAAAUACAUUUACGUAGAUAAUGCGAAACUGGUACUUUUGCAGCAAUAAGAACAUUCCUUCCUACUCUACAAACAGACUCGUAAGAAUUCAGUUAUUAACUAUCUGAAAAAGAGAUAUAAUGACGUGUACAAGUCUUGCCAACAACUAUCAUUAGGUGAAAGUAUCAUUUCUCAAUGAGGCAAACUUUUAUUUAAAAUGUACUUUAAAAUAACUGCAAAAAUCACAAAAUAUGGCAUAGAAAGACAGUUUUGUGAAGAUCACACUAGAUACAUCCGUAAUUUCGAAAUGUAUGGAUCCAAGAAAGAAAGAAGAUACUAUCCUUAUCGAGCCUUACGAAAAUAUAUGGCAUUACAUAUUUAUCAAGACAACUAUUAUAAUAGUGUAAAUACAGGAGAAUAAAAUGCGACUAUAUGGAAUUAUAUGAACAAGUAGAAGGUCUCAAAAAAAUACAACUUUUGGUUAAACCAUAUUUCAUAGAAAAGAUGAUAUUAUAUUGCAGAUAUGGGAUUAUAGGAAACGAAAUAUCGAUAUGAUUUCGAUAAUGACAAUACACUUAACACGACUACUAAAACCGAGCAGUAUAAAUAGAAAAUCUGCAGUGCCAGUUCAAAAGCAUGAAUGGAUAAUAGAUUAUAAUGAAUAUAUGAAAAGGAUAAAUCGCAUAAAUCAGUGUUUGUCUUAUUAUUCGAUUUUUAAAAAGACAAAAAGUAGACAAUUCGAGUUAUAAGGUUUCUAAUCAAAUUCCGCACAUUUUAAUGUAUAUAAAGUAUGUACCGCAUUGAUUGGAAAGAAAAUUUUCUAUAAAAAAUUCUUGCAUGAAGCAUUAUUAUUAUAAAUGGCGAAAUUAACAAGAAUGAAGAUUUACAUAUUACGUUGAGAGCCCACAAAUAGGAUACCCAGAUUUGAUCACCAAGAGAGACUUUUAAAUUUUGCAACACAUAAACUUACGAAAAUAAUAACUCAUAGCGGAGAUAAAAACGUGUUUUCUUUCCAUUAAGCCAGUAAAAAAUACGUAGCAAAUUUACAUAUUUAUAUCGGCAAUUUCGGGUAGGUUCUGUUAAGAAAAAAGAAUAAGUGAGAGAUAUAUAGGGUAUUCAAGAUUUUAAUAUUCGAACUUUGUCAGUAUAUUCUAUGGUAUUAAAUAAGAAAAAAAUGUUAUGUAAACAUAAGUCGCAUAAAGCUUUAUUAAAAAGUUGUAACAAAAAUACAGAAUACAAGUAAUCGACUAGCUGUUAAUACGAGCAUUGGCUCGAAUAGGUCGAUGUAUUUACUACUCGAUAUCCUGAGUUAAUUAAUUAAUACUCCAUUUCAAAAUGUUUAUCAUACUUGACAAUACAUAAUUGACAGCGAUCAAAAAUCAGAUUUACAACUGUGCGAAUUUCGUUUCUAUUCUGUUUCGUUUCAUAGAACGCAUUAUCAAUCUUUUGUAUUAAUUCAUUAUGUGAAUAUUCGUGUUUGAUACACUUUAUCUUUCAAAUUUCUCCACAGAUAGAAGUCGAGUGGCGUAAGAUAGGAUGACCUUGGUGACUAAGAGAUUGGUCUAUCUCGACCUAUCCAUUUGUGAAAAAACCGAUUAUCUAACCACUGCCGAACUUGUGUCCCGUAAUGUGUCACACAAUCAUCCAAUUGCAUCCACAUCUUUUUUACAUAAUACAAUGGCAUCGAUCUUCCAAAAAAAUAUGAUAAUUAAUUUUUUAGAAAAUUCAAAAAUUCAGUUGAAAUCACCCGAUCCGGUAAAAAAUACGGUCCUAUUAUCAUAUCGUUGUACAGGUCUGUCCAUACAUUGCAUUUGCAUUGAUAUUGAAAAGCAACUGUUCGUGUCAUAUGUGAAUUUCUUCUUCUUGCCCAUACAUGAUUAUUACGCACAUUAAAAAUUCCUCUUCUCGUAAACGUCGAUUCAUCAGUCCACGAUAUUUUCGAUGAAAACAAAUUAUCUUGUUGCAUGUAUAGUGCAAUGACAGAAUACCAAUCAUUUUUUAUAAUCAGUUGGAUAAGCUCUUGUACUCUCAUGUAAUGAUACGAAUGACUGUUAUCAGUGUGAAGGGAGUCAUACAAUCGAUCGUGAUAACCACGGUUGAUGCGAGGAAUUACACUCGCUGUUGAAUUAUUAUCAAAAAGUUCAGGAUUCUUGAUGUGCGAUUUCGUUGUCUUGUUGGCACUUUCUCAUGCAAUGAACGUACUCACGGGCGAACUUCAAACGUACGACUUUAUGCUUCUCAGUUAGGGAGAUUAUUACUUUAAUAUCUUGUGUUUAAUGUGCUUGCUAUUUCGCAGAAUGCAAUGCAUUUGUCUUAAAUUUGUUUAUAUUCCCACAUCUUUGGCGAUUUGACUGGCAGUCUCUUUGUAAUUCAGAACAACGCGUAGAAUUUUCUAUUUUUUUUUUUUUUUAUGUAUCUUCCAUAUUCGUUAUAAUUUGUCAGUAAUAGACAUUAAGUAUUGAUGAAAAAUAGUAUGUGGAUUGUGUUUAUUGAGAUGUCUUUAGUGGCAAGAUCAAUCGAUCUAAUAUAUUCGUAUUGUUUAAUUUUUUAGCAAGUCUUUGGAGUUUAUUUUUUCGAGCCUUCACAAGAUGUAUCUUCACAUUUAUAUAGCUGACUGAGAAUUUUUUUAAAAUAAUAAAAAUAUAUAAAAUAAAAUCAAAAAUAUACAUAUACAUAUACUGUAUAUAAAUUUAUAUUUAAAAUAAUAUAUAAGAUUAUAUUACUUAAUAUAGUAUUCGCUACAACCGUUCAAACAUAAUUGAGGUUAUUUGGGACAAUUAGGACAAUAUGUUGCAGUCUGUUUUACAUUUUUUUUCGCUUUCUGGCAUUCGAGAAUUUAUCUCCUUCUUUUGAUAACGUAGAACGCACAUCCUUCUUAUGGUCUUGCGCUGUGGAUUUUUACGAACUUGUAAGUUGUGAGACGCAUUUUUUGUUUUCUUCUUCUGAUUGUCGAUAUAAAAAUUAUCUACAAAUAAAUUUACAAAAUUAGAAAAAAUAAAAACAAAAAAUCGGUAGAAAUAUGAAAACAAUAAGUAUUGGUACAGUUUUUAUUUCCAGCUAUUUACAACGAAGUUUAUAACAUUAACUAAGUGAACACAUUAUAUUAUUGCUUUCUAAUUAUGACUAAUCUCGUCAAUCAAUAGAGUUCAAAACUUGGUACUAUUAAAAAUUAUUAUCGUAAAAUGGAAAACAAAAACGUGCAGAAACUACGAUAGAAGAAAAAAAAUUAUUAUUAACUUGCAUAAUCAACGUAAAAGUUUAUCAAAACUUUCGCGGAUUAUAAAAAGAUUUCUAUCUACUACACGAAAUAUAAUUGGUAGGUACGGAUUGAGAAAGAGGCUGCAAAAUAAUUCGAGAAAUGGACCGUAAAUAAUCAAUUAGUAUUCUGGACGAGUCGUUAUUAGAAUGAUAAAACAAAAUUCAAAAAUAUUUGAAAAUUUAACUAAAAUAGUUGAACAUCUUGAAAAUAAUUUAGAUAUUGAUAUAUCUUUUAGCACUGUGCAUAACUUUAUGGAAAGUCAAGGGUAUCGCAGUCGAGUGGCUCGUAAAAAAUAUUUUGUAAAUAAAUAGAAUAGAAAGAAAAGAUUGCAAUUCGUAAGUAAUAAUAUUAGUAUACCAAUAGUAGAAUAGAGUGAUUUUUAGAGACGAAAGUAAAUUUAAUAUUUUUGGGUCUGAUCGAUAUGGUACUAUCGAGGAGAAAACACGAAGAACUAGGAAAAUUACGACCUAUAUAGUAAAACACGGUGGAGGUUCUGUACUUGUUUGGGGUUGGAUGAGUGCUGUUGGAGUUGGUUCAUUAAAAUCUAUUCAUGGUUUAGUAAAUCACAAAGUUUACAUUGACAUUUUAAAGUGCACUCUUACUUCUAGUGUAGAAAAAAUGGGCAUAAAGAAUAAUUUUAUUUUUAUGCAAAACAAUGAUCCGAAGCAUAUCAGAUAAAAUACGAGAAUGUGGAUACUACAUAAUACAUCAACGUAUAUAAAAACUCCUCCUCAGUUUUCAGAACAUUUAUGGGAUUACUUAGAACGUAAAAUUAGAAAAUAUAAAAUUUCUUGUAAAAAGAAUUAAUAAUAAAUUUAAUGCUGUCAUGGAGGUAUGAAAUAAGAUCCAAAAACGCCCAGCGUUACAUCAAAUUUAGUUAAUUCGUUGCCUAGAAGAAUUGUUGUAACUUUAAAAUCAAAAGAAAAUUCUACGAAGUAUUAAUUACCCGCUUACCUUAAAUUUUACCAUCAGAAUAGUUUAAGUUUUCGACGAAUUUUAAAAAAUUCAGCAUUUGUACGAAUACUUAUUGCUUUCAUAUUUCUACUGAUUUUUUGUUUUUCCUUGCUAACUUUGUAAAUUGUACAAUCAACUAAUUUUUUCUGGACUAUAUCCACUCUAAAGAUUCGUGGAAAUAUGUACCAAUUUUUUGUUUAUAAAAAAUUAGUUAAUAAACUAUAAUCUCACGAAGUCUUAUUUCAAGUCGAUCAAUGUUCGAAUACUUUUUAUACUCACAUAUGUGAUUUAGUCGGUAUGUACUGCCAUAAUAGUAGUCUUGCCCUCCAAAGAAUCAUUGUUUCGUCGACUACAAUAUUUGGGCAUGGUGGAAAGAUUUUUUGAUACUGUGUAUCAGUAUGUGUACAAGUAAUAAAACUUUUCCAAAUUUAUCAUUAUGUUCUAUGGUUUCGUUGUUUUCCAAGUGCAAAUUUGCUAAGAAUAAUUCAAAUCGAUUACGAGACAUUAGGCUAUGCGGAAACGAAAAAUUACAAAUAGGUUCCGUUGAUCAACAUUUAGUUAGCGAUGUCAGUAUUAGAUCCAUCCAAAUCAACGGUCCAAUAAAUGUUUUCAUUUUUUCGAUAUUAUUGGGUUUUCAUCUCUUCAUUUGUCCCGUGUCCGACAUUUGAAUGGUGAAGUAAUUUUUAGUCUGCAUUUUCGUUCCUUUUCGUGGCUAGAAAGCUUAUCAUUUUUUCAUUCAGAAAUAAUGAAAGAACUUCACCCGGUUUAAUAUCGAUAGGUAAUUCCAUUAAAAGUUCACUUUUCCCGGUGAAUGUAAAUGAUUUUUAUUCGCUGGUAAAUUCGUUCCACUGAAUAUUGUCUAAUGAACCAACAGUAUUGGUCUGUUCCUCUUCUUCUUUUAUAACUAAUUCUUCUAACAUUCCUUUAAGAUCUUCACUUUCAUAUGCAUCUUCGUCAUCAGAGAGAAAUAUAAAGAUGUAAAGAUGAAAUUUUAUUUCUAACCUUUUUUGUAAAUCUGACUACUUCUUCAUCACUACUUCGCUCACUUUUUUUUUAUAUUUAUACACUGUCUAACUACAAAAUAUUUUAAGGAUAAAAGUCACAGACAUGCUUCUUAGAAAAAAUAUGCUUCUCGACCGAAUAAAAAUUCUGGCAUAAAUGCCGUGAGAUCUCUCACAGUCUUCUUUUCGGAAAGCUUGUUGCUUUCUCCACUUCGUUAUUCUUUACUCUUUUCUUUUCUUUAUUUUUUAACGACACCAAGACUCGAUAACGUUAAGUUACUGGCCACACGCAAUACUUUUGAAUAACAGAUUGCGUCACAUCGUUGUUCCAGCUAAUCGCUUUGUAUCUACGCACCAUUCAUAGAUUUACAACUUCGAUCAUCGGAUUUGCGAUCCCGGGAAAUUGGACAGAUUCUUGUUAGGCGAUCAAUGCGUCAAUUGCUUCUUCAAUUUGAAGAGAAGUCUUUAGCAGAAUGUUACAGUUCAGUUUUAAUUCUAUGAUUUCUUUCAAUAACGUUCAAUUUAUCUCUUUGUUAUAUCUCUCUUUUUGUUCGUGACAUUUUUUUAAACAUAUAGAUAGGUUUAUUUCAGUAUGUGAUUAUUAUAAGAGUUAGAACUAAGUUCUAAGCAUAAUUUAAUUUUAAGAUACAAUGGGUUUAAAUCUUUUAAAGUGUCAAAAUCUAGUAGAUCAGGAGUUUUAUUAUAAGCUGGGUGAGCUUGGUUCACUUAUCGUGAGAAUGUUCAGAUUAACUUUGUAUAAAUAUGCAUUCAGUGUAUUAUCUCGUGAUGUUAUUUUCGAUCCCUAGGAUGCUUUGCAUUAUAGUCGCUUGCUGCAGUGAAGUAAUUGUAACAGCUUGAAGGUAAUCUUGUGAUGUAUUACAUAAUUAUUAUGUGUCACUUAUGGUAUUUCUCUUUUUGGUCUAUGUGGUUCAACUUUAAUUAGUACAUUCAGUUGACUUUUCAUGUGAUAAAUAUCCUUGUCAUUUUCUUUUCGUCUCAAUUUUUAUUUUUUUGUUAUUUAUGUAUUUUAUGUUAUUUCAUUUAGGAUAUAGUCAUCGAUUUUAUAACUCUUCUCAUUUUUUUUAUUGGUACGUAUAGUAUCGUGCAUUUUUAAUUUUUUGAUUUCUUUUCUAAACAUUUCUGGAGCGUUAGGUUUCUUAACUCGUUUUAUUGUAUAGUUAUUUCGUUCAGUUGUUUUAUCUAAUAAUUCAAUUGAUGAUUUGUGCAUCAAUGUAUAUUCCAUAUCGAUGGUGGAUUAACAGCUUUUUCUAAAUUGUUUUUCGUAGCUUGUAGCUCUGUGAUAUCGAGAAGUAAGUCAUAAGUAUUGCUGAGUGCUAUUUCUUGAAGGUAUUUUUUUGAAAGUGGUGCUGUUAUUGUUGUUUUUCAAAUCAAAUUAAUUUUUUUUACAGGAUCGGUAAGUAAAGCGUUAACUAAAUUAUCACUGGUCAAACGAAAACAAUCGAUAAUGUCGACUAAUUGUAAGUGCAAAGUACGUUCGAGAAAAGUAUUUCCAUAUAAGGUUAAAGUACAUUUAAGAGAAGUUACUACAUUUUAUUUUAUAGUUGUUCAUAUUUAAUCCUUAUAUCAGGACUCUGUCAGAUACUCUUUUGCACAUUCUUACUUAAAAUAUUUUAUCUUCCCGCUAAAAGAUUUUAAUAUCAGACAAGAUUGUUGCUAUUCGAUACAUUUUCUACUCGUUCGUGUUAGUUUUCAAGUUUAGAAUUCUGUUAUCCGAAGACUGCUAAAAUUUAUCAAUAAAGUAGUAACUAUACGUUCUUUCCAUAAUCUAUAGGUAUUCUUAUAGAUAAAUAAAAUUAUUAUUAUAUUUCUGAAAUUAUACAGGCAAUUAAAGAAAAUAAUAUUUAAGUAUUACAAGGAAUAUAAAAUAAACAUGUUUAUGUACGUUUUGUAUAAGACUUUGCAUCUUCAUCAUAUAUCGGUUUUUACAUUCCAAACAUGAUUUUCAUUUUGAUUCUUAGAGUCAUCCUCUGCAUUUCUCCUUCCCCCACUUUCUUUAUCUCUAACUCCCUUUUCCAUUUCAUAUUCUUUUCUGAGAUUAUCUCCACCUUAAACUUAUUAUUCAGGCUUCUGUCAUCCGAUAAGUUGCCUUCUCUUAGGAAGCUCCGAUCU